rnacentral:rRNA from 1 species
CCUUCGGGUUGUAAAGCACUUUCAGUCGUGAGGAAGGUAGUGUAGUUAAUAGCUGCAGUAUUUGACGUUAGCGACAGAAGAAGCACCGGCUAACUCCGUGCCAGCAGCCGCGGUAAUACGGAGGGUGCGAGCGUUAAUCGGAAUUACUGGGCGGUAAAGCGCAUGCAGGUGGUUUGUUAAGUCAGAUGUGAAAGACCCGGGGCGUCAACCUCGGAAUAGCAUUUGUAAACUAGGCAGACUAGAGUACUGUAGAGGGGGGUAGGAAUUUCAGGUGUAGCGGUGAAAUGCGUAGAGAUCUGAAGGAAUACCGGUGGCGAAGGCGGCCCCCUCGGACAGAUACUGACACUCAGAUGCGAAAGCGUGGGGAGCAAACAGGAUUAGAUACCCUGGUAG